UGACUGUAGGUGAAAGCUUACAUCUCUUCGGAGCAGUUUUACGAGGUGCUGCAUGGUUGUCGUCAGCUCGUGCCGUGAGGUGUCGGGUUAAGUCCCAUAACGAGCGCAACCCUACCUUUAGUUGCCGUCAGGUUAAGCUGGGGACUCUAAAGGAACUGCCUACGCAAGUAGUGAGGAAGGCGGGGAUGACGUCAAAUCAGCACGGCCCUUACGUCCAGGGCUACACACGUGCUACAAUGGCCGAUACAGAGGGCAGCUACCUGGUGACAGGAUGCAAAUCUCCAAAGUCGGUCUCAGUUCGGAUCGGAGUCUGCAACCCGACUCCGUGAAGUUGGAUUCACUAGUAAUCGCGCAUCAGCCAUGGCGCGGUGAAUACGUUCCCGGGCCUU
rnacentral:rRNA from 1 species